UUGACCUCAAAUCAGGUAGGACUACCCGCUGAACUUAAGCAUAUCAAUAAGCGGAGGAAAAGAAACUAACANGGAUCCCCUAGUANCUGCGAGUGAAGCGGGAAAAGCUCAAAUUUAAAUCUGAGGGUCUUUAUGG
rnacentral:rRNA from 1 species